UGCCCUCUCCUUCCAACUCCUCCUCUCACGUCCUCUCCAGCAAACCCCUCUCCGGCGAACUCCUCUCCGCGAACCUCCUCUCCUCUGAAUUCCUUCACGCAAAUGCCCUAGUCACGGUCGCGGGGAGAAGAAGCAAGGAUUCUUCUCGGUGCUAAGGGAGGAGGUUGUGAGGGGGCUUUCUCCAUCACGGUCGCGGGGAUGGCUGAGGUCGGAGAGCCCGCGGCGGAGCACAUGACCUUCACCGUCACGAAGACUUCUGAGGGCUACGUCCGGCCGGCGGAGAUGACGCCUCCGGGAUCGUUGACGCUCGACUGGAUCAGACGAUACCCGACCCACCGCCGCCUCGUCGACUCCCUCCACAUUUACAAGCACGGCCAGAACCCCGCCGAGGUCAUCUGCGAGGCGCUAGCCCGGGCCCUGGUCCCGUACUACCCGAUCGCCGGCCGGAUCGUGCAAAUGGAAGGCUGCGAGCCCCGGAUCGAGUGCACCGGGGAGGGCGUCUGGUUCGUGGCCGCCUUCGCCAACUGCAGCCUCGCCGACGUCAACUAUCUGGAGCGCCCCAUAAUGCUCGAGUAGAACGACAUCCUACCCUACACCGAACUCGAGACCAGUCCUGCCAAUACCUUGAUGAUGAUUCAGGUUACUAAGUUCACAUGUGGUGGGUUCCUCAUUGGUGUAAGGUUCAACCACGCAUCCGCUGAUGGCUUAGGAUUGGCACAAGUCAUUUCCGCCAUUGGUGACCUUAUAUUCUGAAGAUUGAAAAGGGCUACUAUGGCAAUUCUAAAGGUUGUGAGUAUUUGAUAGUAUAUAGGUGGUAAUAAUAUCAUAUUUCACAUGAUUUACUACGGUUAACAUGUUUACUGGUUCAAAAAUACCAUGUUUACUGGUUCAAAAAUGGUUGCUAUACUGAUGUGUAAAGAAGGAAGAACGACAUCUUAUCAAGCAUAUGGACGUUGUUUUGUGCAAAAGAAUCAUGAGUUUCAAGUAAUAAUUAAGAUUUUCAAUUUGUUCAAGGCUGCGGCCCGAAUUGCAUGUUAAUUAGCUUCCUUCUAGUGAUUUGAUGGAAAAGGAGAUAGUGGGUUGGAUAAGAAAUGGUUUUCAAUCAAAUACGAAUCCAAUAUUAGUACUACAUUCAUAACUUUACUUAUUAACCAUAGACAAUACCAUAAUCAUGAUGAAAAUUAACGACACUGCUUUUAUAUUUUGGAUGGCUAUGAUACAGAGUCAAAAUCUUACCAACCAUAUCUAACUAUUGGCUGUAGCAGUAAACAUGGUAAUAUUUUGUAGAAAAUACCAUGUUUACUGGUUCAAAAAUGAUUUUUUGCUACCUUCAUAUUGACAUGUUGAAUUUUUAAAUCCUUUCUUUGCACUCUAGAAUCAAAGCCAUAUUUUAUAUGAAUAGUUUAGUACAUCGGAAAACUACAUUUGCUACUGGAAAAUUUCAAGUCAAAUUGUGUUUGAUAAAGCUACAAGUUCUGCAAACCAAAGAAAUCAGAACAUAUGCUGAUUUUGACUUUAGUUCAUGUGUAAGAACUCAAAUGAAAUAUAUGCUGUUCUUUUUGCACUGCAUCUCUAAUUAUGUAUUUACAUCUCACAGUGGUUUCCCUAGCAUCUCCAAUUAUACUAUUCUUUUUGCUAUAUUUCCAUGGUGGAAACAAAGUAGCACAUGUAUAGGUGUUUCUCACCUCAAAAUAUAUUAGGAGAGGGUGGAUUUGGUUCUGUUUACAAAGGGUGCUUACCUGAUGGAAGAGAAGUGGCCGUGAAGCAAUUAAAAAUUGAAAGUAGGCAAGGUGACCAUGAGUUCAAAUCUGAAGUGGAGAUUAUCAGCCGUGUGCACCAUCGCCAUUUGGUUUCUCUUGUAGGGUAUUGCAUAUCAUACGAUCAAAGGCUGCUGGUGUAUGAUUUUGUGCCCAAUGGAACACUUGAAUCUCAUCUUCAUGGGAAGAACACAAGACCUGUAAUGGAUUGGGCAACCAGGGUGAAGUCGUCAAUCCAUUUUGAUCAAUAUAUCUAGUAGAAGUAAGCAUGCAGAUCGUUGUCUUCGAGGCCAGCUAGUUAUUUUGUGCUUUUUUUGUUUUAAAUUUGAAUGUUACUAUCUACUUUGAAACAGAAAUAUUCAGUCUUUGUGUAUAGUUGAAUUCUCCUGUAAAUACUAAUACUUUGUAGUUGAAUUCUAUUG